ensembl:lncRNA
AGUCAUUACAGAAAUGGCACUGCAGGCAUUGACUUCCGUUCCUAGGCAGACGCAGGAGUUUGAGCUUUACGGAAUAUGGAGUAAUUUGGAACAGCGACUGAUCCUUUCUCAGCUUACCAAUGCAAAAUAAUGCAUUGUUUUAUAUCUAGAUGACCUUGAGAGGAGAAAUUGAGUAGGAAUGGACUGAAACAGCAUCUGAAUAUCUCCAAUACAUUGACCUCUAUGAGAUCAUCAAAUGGCACUGAAGUAUUAUAGCAGAAGAACAAGAAAGCUUGUAUCAUAUAGAAGGCAUUAUGUUGGAAAUGAGCAAAUGCAUUUCAUAGAAUCACAGAAUCAGAAUAUCCUGAAUUGGAAGGCACAUACAAGGAGUCCACCAUAUCUAAGUGUUGGUACAAACAGCAGCACCACACAAUCCCAAACCCUGUGUGUGAGAGCAGUGCCCAAACACUCCCUGAGCUCUGGCAGAUUGGGCUGUGCCCACCGCCCUCUGGGCACAGCCUUUCCCUGACACGCUGACCCUCCCCUGACACAGCUCCAUGCUGUUCCCUCAGGCCCUGUCUCUGUCACCAGAGAGCAGAGCUCAUGCCUUCAUGAAUUCUUUUGUUUGUCUUCUUUAUUCUGAAGAUGGCAUUUUUGUGAAAAGAGCAAUUUGUGUUGCUGCAGUUGUUUGAAAUAAAAGCACAAGUGCUGCAGUUAAGGAUGUG